rnacentral:rRNA from 1 species
ACGCUCGACACCUACGGGAGGCGGCAGUCGGGAAUAUUGCGCAAUGGAGGAAACUCUGACGCAGUGACGCCGCGUAUGGGAAGAAGGUUUUCGGAUUGUAAACCAUUUUAGACAAGGAAGAAACAAGACAGUACUUGUAGAAUAAGCUCCGGCUAACUACGUGCCAACAGCCGCGGUAAUCUGAGCGGGCUGGCGAAGGC